GACGAACGCUGGCGGCGUGCUUAACACAUGCAAGUCGAACGAUGAAGACCGGUGCUUGCACUGGUUGGAUUAGUGGCGAACGGGUGAGUAAUACGUGAGUAACCUGCCUUUGACUCUGGGAUAAGCCUUGGAAACGAGGUCUAAUACCGGAUAUGACACAGUUUCGCAUGAAAUCUGUGUGGAAAGGGUUUGUACUGGUUUUAGAUGGGCUCACGGCCUAUCAGCUUGUUGGUGGGGUAAUGGCUCACCAAGGCGACGACGGGUAGCCGGCCUGAGAGGGUGACCGGCCACACUGGGACUGAGACACGGCCCAGACUCCUACGGGAGGCAGCAGUGGGGAAUAUUGCACAAUGGGCGCAAGCCUGAUGCAGCGACGCCGCGUGAGGGAUGACGGCCUUCGGGUUGUAAACCUCUUUCAGCAGGGGAGAAGCGAAAGUGACGGUACCUGCAGAAGAAGCGCCGGCUAACUACGUGCCAGCAGCCGCGGUAAUACGUAGGGCGCGAGCGUUGUCCGGAAUUAUUGGGCGUAAAGAGCUUGUAGGGCGGUUUGUCGCGUCUGCUGUGAAAGCCCGGGGCUUAACUCCGGGUUUGCAGUGGGUACGGGCUAACUAGAGUGCAGUAGGGGAGACUGGAAUUCCUGGUGUAGCGGUGGAAUGCGCAGAUAUCAGGAGGAACACCGAUGGCGAAGGCAGGUCUCUGGGCUGUAACUGACGCUGAGAAGCGAAAGCAUGGGGAGCGAACAGGAUUAGAUACCCUGGUAGUCCAUGCCGUAAACGUUGGGCACUAGGUGUGGGGGACAUUCCACGUUUUCCGCGCCGUAGCUAACGCAUUAAGUGCCCCGCCUGGGGAGUACGGCCGCAAGGCUAAAACUCAAAGAAAUUGACGGGGGCCCGCACAAGCGGCGGAGCAUGCGGAUUAAUUCGAUGCAACGCGAAGAACCUUACCAAGGCUUGACAUAUACUGGACUCCCCUAGAGAUAGGGUUUCCCUUCGGGGCUGGUAUACAGGUGGUGCAUGGUUGUCGUCAGCUCGUGUCGUGAGAUGUUGGGUUAAGUCCCGCAACGAGCGCAACCCUCGUUCUAUGUUGCCAGCACGUGAUGGUGGGGACUCAUAGGAGACUGCCGGGGUCAACUCGGAGGAAGGUGGGGAUGACGUCAAAUCAUCAUGCCCCUUAUGUCUUGGGCUUCACGCAUGCUACAAUGGCCGGUACAAAGGGUUGCGAUACUGUGAGGUUGAGCUAAUCCCAAAAAGCCGGUCUCAGUUCGGAUUGGGGUCUGCAACUCGACCCCAUGAAGUCGGAGUCGCUAGUAAUCGCAGAUCGGCAACGCUGCGGUGAAUACGUUCCCGGGCCU
rnacentral:rRNA from 1 species